GACGAACGCUGGCGGCGUGCUUAACACAUGCAAGUCGAACGAUGAAGCUGGAGCUUGCUCCGGUGGAUUAGUGGCGAACGGGUGAGUAACACGUGAGCAAUCUGCCCUUGACUCUGGGAUAACUGCGGGAAACUGUAGCUAAUACCGGAUACGAGGCUCGAAGGUAUCUUCGGGUCUGGAAAGAAUUUCGGUCAAGGAUGAGCUCGCGGCCUAUCAGCUUGUUGGUGAGGUAAUGGCUCACCAAGGCGACGACGGGUAGCCGGCCUGAGAGGGUGACCGGCCACACUGGGAAUGGGACACGGCCCAGACUCCUACGGGAGGCAGCAGUGGGGAAUAUUGCACAAUGGGCGAAAGCCUGAUGCAGCAACGCCGCGUGAGGGAUGAAGGCCUUCGGGUUGUAAACCUCUUUUAGCAGGGAAGAAGCGAAAGUGACGGUACCUGCAGAAAAAGCACCGGCUAACUACGUGCCAGCCGCCGCAGUAA
rnacentral:rRNA from 1 species